rnacentral:lncRNA from 1 species
CCCGAACCAAACUCAAAUCAUCGUUACUACCCCCGUCUUCGUCCGUCGCUCCGGUGACCGUGCCGUCCAUCAUCUUCAUCACCAUUUCGCCAGGAUACUUGCCGGAGAAUAACAACCACCGUCGUCGCCUCCACUGUCGUCGUCUUGAGCGGCGGCGCCAGCUCCGUUUCUCACUCUCUUCAUCUCCCUAUCUUUGUCCGUCGCUACAGCCGUGCGCAGCCACCAUCACGGUGGCUGACCGUGUGUUCUCGAGAACCAGGGGUGUCUCGCUUGAAAAUCCACCGGCAUCGGUGCCGGUUCCGGCUCUGGUCGUCUUGACCAGCUGAACGAGAGGGAGGGAGAGGUACUGGUGAGGAUUUAUGCUUUUGAUUGUCUUUAUGUAUAAUCGAGUUUUAAAUGCGUUUUGAAAUAUAUAAAAAGGGUCGAGUGUUAGUGGUUUGAAAUAAAGGUAAGCAGUAUUCGUCGGAUGUUAUAACUUCAUUUGUAAUUUGUAAACGUCGCCCAAAAUAAAUAUAUAUUUAUAUUUAUUUUAUAAGAAGAACUCGAAAUCCGAUAAGUGUAGUUUUUAUAUCAUAAAUGCGUGUCGUGUUUCGGGUUUUUAACGAAAAUUGGGCAGAGUUUCCCCUGUUUUUAGGAUGCCCCGACAAUCAAGUCGUCGUUAUUUGUCAAAAAUCCAACGAUAAUCCAAUCACAAUUAUAUAUAUCUUUCGCAAAAUAUAACGAACACUAAAAUAAUUAAACU